UCCUUGGACUUCUGUCUACUUAAUCUAUAUAAACUCAAUUUAUUUUAAAAUGAAUGUAAUGGAUGUAACACAUCUAAUACUAAGUUUCAACAACGGAUCUCUUGGCUCUCGCAUCGAUGAAGAACGCAGCGAAAUGCGAUAAGUAAUGUGAAUUGCAGAAUUCAGUGAAUCAUCGAAUCUUUGAACGCACCUUGCGCUCCUUGGUAUUCCUUGGAGCAUGCCUGUUUGAGUAUCAUGAAAUCUUCAAAGUCAAACCUUUUGUUAACUCAAUUGGUUUUGCUUUGGUAUUGGAGGUCUAUUGCAGCUUCACACCUGCUCCUCUUUGUGCAUUAGCUGGAUCUCAGUGUUAUGCUUGGUUCCACUCAGCGUGAUAAGUUAUCUAUCGCUGAGGACACCCUGU
rnacentral:misc_RNA from 1 species